GGGGCUGAUUCUGGAUUCGACGGGAUUUGCGAAACCCAAGGUGCAUGCCGAGGGGCGGUUGGCCUCGUAAAAAGCCGCAAAAAAUAGUCGCAAACGACGAAAACUACGCUUUAGCAGCUUAAUAACCUGCUUAGAGCCCUCUCUCCCUAGCCUCCGCUCUUAGGACGGGGAUCAAGAGAGGUCAAACCCAAAAGAGAUCGCGUGGAAGCCCUGCCUGGGGUUGAUGCGUUAAAACUUAAUCAGGCUAGUUUGUUAGUGGCGUGUCCGUCCGCAGCUGGCAAGCGAAUGUAAAGACUGACUAAGCAUGUAGUACCGAGGAUGUAGGAAUUUCGGACGCGGGUUCAACUCCCGCCAGCUCCACCA
rnacentral:tmRNA from 1 species